AUCCAGCUGACGAGUCCCAAAUAGGACGAAUUGACGCGUAUCCUGGAC
rfam:Schistosoma haematobium scaffold405_12, whole genome shotgun sequence.